rnacentral:rRNA from 1 species
GAGGUUUGUAUCUCUCGUGCUCAGACGAACGCUGGCGGCGUGCUAAUACAUGCAAGUCGAGCGGACAGAUGGGAGCUUGCUCCUGAUGUUAGCGGCGGACGGGUGAGUAACACGUGGGUAACCUGCCUGUAAGACUGGGAUAACUCCGGGAAACCGGGGCUAAUACCGGAUGGUUGUCUGAACCGCAUGGUUCAGACAUAAAAGGUGGCUUCGGCUACCACUUACAGAUGGACCCGCGGCGCAUUAGCUAGUUGGUGAGGUAACGGCUCACCAAGGCGACGAUGCGUAGCCGACCUGAGAGGGUGAUCGGCCACACUGGGACUGAGACACGGCCCAGACUCCUACGGGAGGCAGCAGUAGGGAAUCUUCCGCAAUGGACGAAAGUCUGACGGAGCAACGCCGCGUGAGUGAUGAAGGUUUUCGGAUCGUAAAGCUCUGUUGUUAGGGAAGAACAAGUGCCGUUCAAAUAGGGCGGCACCUUGACGGUACCUAACCAGAAAGCCACGGCUAACUACGUGCCAGCAGCCGCGGUAAUACGUAGGUGGCAAGCGUUGUCCGGAAUUAUUGGGCGUAAAGGGCUCGCAGGCGGUUUCUUAAGUCUGAUGUGAAAGCCCCCGGCUCAACCGGGGAGGGUCAUUGGAAACUGGGGAACUUGAGUGCAGAAGAGGAGAGUGGAAUUCCACGUGUAGCGGUGAAAUGCGUAGAGAUGUGGAGGAACACCAGUGGCGAAGGCGACUCUCUGGUCUGUAACUGACGCUGAGGAGCGAAAGCGUGGGGAGCGAACAGGAUUAGAUACCCUGGUAGUCCACGCCGUAAACGAUGAGUGCUAAGUGUUAGGGGGUGUCCGCCCCUUAGUGCUGCAGCUAACGCAUAAGCACUCCGCCUGGGAGACGCCAAUCCUACACCUAUUACUGGA